rnacentral:hammerhead_ribozyme from 1 species
ACCUUGCUGACGAGUGGCAAAUGGCACGAAACCCGGGUCCAAGGU